AGCAGCCGCGGUAAUUCCAGCUCCAAUAGCGUAUAUUAAAGUUGUUGCAGUUAAAAAGCUCGUAGUUGAAUUUCGGGAUUAAUAUGUUGGUCGUGCCUUGGUACGUACUGGCAUUAUUGAUUCCUACCUUCUGAAGAACCUCGAUGUCAUUAAUUUGGUGUCUUGGGGAAUCAGGACCGUUACUUUGAAAAAAUUAGAGUGUUUAAAGCAGGCUCGCGCUUGAAUACAUUAGCAUGGAAUAAUGAAAUAGGACGUUUGAUUCUAUUUUGUUGGUUUCUAGGAUCGACGUAAUGAUUAAUAGGGAUAGUUGGGGGCGAUUAGUAUUCAAUUGUCAGAGGUGAAAUUCUUGGAUUUAUUGAAGACUGACUACUGCGAAAGCAUUUGCCAAGGAUGUUUUCAUUAAUCAAGAACGAAAGUUAGGGGAUCGAAGACGAUCAGAUACCGUCGUAGUCUUAACCAUAAACUAUGCCGACUAGGGAUCGGAUGAUGUUAAUUUUUUAAUGACUCAUUCGGCGCCUUA
rnacentral:misc_RNA from 1 species